UAAAAUUGAUGGACUGAUAUCGGCAUGCCUGGAUAAUAAUUAUUAUCACUUUUGUUGUUAUUCCUGAUUUUAUAAGCAAAAUUUACUACUUCACAAAUUUAUAUGUUUCUAACACAAAGUUUAUAUUACAUAUUUCCAACGAUUAUCACGCAAGGUUCGUUUUAUUGCUUCACGCAACGGUUCAUAAAUCUAUUUAUAUGUGAAAACGCUUCAACAUUGCGGUAUAUAUAAAAAGCAUAAUAUUGCUAUGAGAAUCAAUCAGGUAGCAAUAUGAAUCAAUCGGUGAGACUUUUUGUCUUCCUUUUCGCCGUUGUUCUCAUGUCAGACUACUUCAUUAAGCUGGCUGACGCUAUGUGCAUCUGUAAAAAUGGGCGCCCAGCUCCUGGUACUCUAGGCCUGAUAUGUAUAAAAAUCUGUCUGAUACAACAAGCACAAGGAUAAAUAUGUAUGACGAUAUGGCACAUCACUGUUAUUAAUUUUUCUCGCGUGAUUGGGCAGUAUUAGAAAAUAGAGCAUACUUAAAGUAUACUAAAUUCCAACAAGCACUAGGAUAAAUAUAUAUGACGAUAUGGCACACCAUUAUUAUUAAUUUUUCUUAUGUGAUUGGGCAGUAUUAGAAAAUAAAGCA